rnacentral:rRNA from 1 species
AGAGUUUGAUCCUGGCUCAGAAUCAACGCUGGCGGCGUGCCUAACACAUGCAAGUCGAGCGAGAAAGUGGUAGCAAUACCAUGAGUAAAGCGGCGCACGGGUGAGUAACACGUGACUAACCUACCCUGGAGUGGGGAAUAACUGAGGGAAACCUUAGCUAAUACCGCAUAAUACCCACGGGUCAAAGGAGCAAUCCGCUCUGGGAGGGGGUCGCGGCCGAUUAGUUAGUUGGCGGGGUAACGGCCCACCAAGACGAUGAUCGGUAUCCGGCCUGAGAGGGCGCACGGACACACUGGAACUGAAACACGGUCCAGACUCCUACGGGAGGCAGCAGUGGGGAAUUUUGCGCAAUGGGGGAAACCCUGACGCAGCAACGCCGCGUGGAGGAUGAAGUCCUUCGGGACGUAAACUCCUUUCGAUCGGGACGAUUAUGACGGUACCGGAAGAAGAAGCCCCGGCUAACUUCGUGCCAGCAGCCGCGGUAAUACGAGGGGGGCGAGCGUUGUUCGGAAUUAUUGGGCGUAAAGGGUGCGUAGGCGGUUUGGUAAGUCUUAUGUGAAAUCUAUGGGCUCAACUCAUAGACUGCAUGAGAAACUGCCGGGCUGGAGUGUGGGAGAGGUGAGUGGAAUUUCCGGUGUAGCGGUGAAAUGCGUAGAUAUCGGAAGGAACACCUGUGGCGAAAGCGGCUCACUGGACCAUAACUGACGCUGAUGCACGAAAGCUAGGGGAGCAAACAGGAUUAGAUACCCUAGUAGUCC